CGUGUAGGCGGGGACAUAAGUCAGAUGUGAAAUACCGAGGCUUAACUUCGGGGCUGCAUCUGAAACUAUGUUUCUUGAGUGUCGGAGAGGAAAGUGGAAUUCCCAGUGUAGCGGUGAAAUGCGUAGAUAUUGGGAGGAACACCAGUGGCGAAGGCGACUUUCUGGACGAUAACUGACGCUGAGGCGCGAAAGCGUGGGGAGCAAACAGGAUUAGAUACCCUGGUAGUCCACGCUGUAAACGAUGGAUACUAGGUGUAGGAGGUAUCGACCCCUUCUGUGCCGGAGUUAACACAAUAAGUAUCCCACCUGGGGAUACGGCCGCAAGGUUGAA
rnacentral:rRNA from 1 species